rnacentral:sRNA from 12 species
CCCUUGGAGCGUUAUGUCAAACAAAAGUAGUUGAUUAAUUUGAUUUAAUAACAAAAUUGGACGCGAUGAAUAGGGAA